CACGACUCUCUUCUUUCUCGCCCACUGCACGUACCGCACGCACUCCUCCACCGCGUCGCCGCCAGCCAUCGCGCUCGCCGCGCCUCCGCCACCGCUCCUCCACCUCGCGCGCUGCCACCACCGCACCCAACCGCGCCCGCCGAGCCGCCGCCAGACCCGUGCCCAAUCGCGCCAGUCGCGCCCAACCACGCUCAACCACGACCACCGCGCCGCCGCCAGACCCACCGCUCCUCCAUCGUGCUCAGCACAAGGCGGGCCGCAUCGACAAAGACGAUCUCACUCCCCUCUUCUCGUUCCUCCCACUCUCGCACGACGAGCCAGCUCCACCCCGUCUCCCGCGGCAACCAAGCGCUCCGUCUUCUCGCCACACUUCGCUACCCGUCCGCGUCGCGGCCGUGGCCGUGACUGAGGCGUAGGACCGGCCUCCCUCCCGCCCACCCGGGACUCGUCCUGGUGGAGCCCAAGGCGCGCGUCCUGGUGGCCGGCGGCGGCAUCGGCGGUCUGGCCUUCGCGCUCGCCGCCAGGCGGAAGGGGUUCGAGGUGCUGGUGCUGGAGCGGGAUUUGAGCACCGUCCGCGGGGAAGGGAGGUACCGCAGCCCGAUCCAGCUGCAGAGCAACGCGCUCGCCGCGCUUGAGGCUCGGGUGCGCCUCCCCGCUCGCUGCCCUCGUGCCUCUGGCUUCUGCACCGCCGUCGGCCAGGGAGACACAACCGACCUCCCUCUCCGCCAGGUGGCCUACGACGCCCAUGCGUCCCUGGGGAACCCGUGGCCACUCCAGGCCGACCACGCGCGUUCUCUGCACUGCUGCCGGCAGCGUCCAAAGAGAGGGGAAAGAACUGCUAGUUCAGCAUUUGCUUGUUGGUGAAAAGGAUGUCAGGCUUCUGGUUGAUCUCGAAAAGAAUAUCAUUGCAGGAGGAGUAGACUUGAGUGAUUUAGCCGUGGAGCACUCCUUAUGUCCAUCCAAAG